UAGGGAAUCUUCGGCAAUGGACGAAAGUCUGACCGAGCAACGCCGCGUGAGUGAAGAAGGUUUUCGGAUCGUAAAACUCUGUUGUUAGAGAAGAACAAGGACGUUAGUAACUGAACGUCCCCUGACGGUAUCUAACCAGAAAGCCACGGCUAACUACGUGCCAGCAGCCGCGGUAAUACGUAGGUGGCAAGCGUUGUCCGGAUUUAUUGGGCGUAAAGCGAGCGCAGGCGGUUUCUUAAGUCUGAUGUGAAAGCCCCCGGCUCAACCGGGGAGGGUCAUUGGAAACUGGGAGACUUGAGUGCAGAAGAGGAGAGUGGAAUUCCAUGUGUAGCGGUGAAAUGCGUAGAUAUAUGGAGGAACACCAGUGGCGAAGGCGGCUCUCUGGUCUGUGACUGACGCUGAGGCUCGAAAGCGUGGGGAGCAAACAGG
rnacentral:rRNA from 1 species